CCUACGGGGGGCAGCAGUGGGGAAUAUUGGACAAUGGGCGCAAGCCUGAUCCAGCCAUGCCGCGUGAGUGAUGAAGGCCUUAGGGUUGUAAAGCUCUUUCGUCAGGGAAGAUAAUGACGGUACCUGAAGAAGAAGCCCCGGCUAACUUCGUGCCAGCAGCCGCGGUAAUACGAAGGGGGCUAGCGUUGCUCGGAAUCACUGGGCGUAAAGCGCACGUAGGCGGCUUUCUAAGUCAGGGGUGAAAUCCCGGGGCUCAACCCCGGAACUGCCUUUGAUACUGGAGAGCUUGAGUUCGGGAGAGGUGAGUGGAACUGCGAGUGUAGAGGUGAAAUUCGUAGAUAUUCGCAAGAACACCAGUGGCGAAGGCGGCUCACUGGCCCGAUACUGACGCUGAGGUGCGAAAGCGUGGGGAGCAAACAGGAUUAGAUACCCUUGUAGU
rnacentral:rRNA from 1 species